ACAAAGGAGAGGAUCCAUAAAAUAGCAAUGAUUUCUCUGGCGGUCUUUCCUGUCAUUAACUCCUUGUACCUAGAGAAAACACAGCAGAGAGCCAUUGCCUGACUGACAUAUGAAAGGAAAUCCUCAACAGUAGGUGCACGGCGGCUGCGUGUUCAGAUGCAGAGCUGAUUCACACGAGUGUCGGCCUGCUGGUCCCCGCCAUAUAAACAGUGCCCGAAACAAAAUGAACUGUUUCCUCAAAGUGAUUCAGUGGAGGUGAAAAGAUGGGGGACAAAACCCGCAGCUCUUGUUCUCGGCUUAAAUACGGAAUAAAGUUCAGCUGACUGAAUAUGAAGCUUCAUAUGAGUCUGAGUGAGGGGGGAUCACUUCACAGCUCCUAUGGACAGGAUGAAUUAUAUCUGUUUGAAUGUGGGAAUGAGAGAACUGAACUGAAGCCUUGACCGACUGAGUCAUCCACCUCCUGAACACAGUCACCUACCUGCGACUGACCAGCAUCUACCUGACCGGCUGUGCAUCACUGUGGUGUUUCACUUCACUGUAUCACUGUGCGCUCUCAGGCUCUCACAUCCUUUAACAAAUCUAUCCGACAUACGGUGAGCAGUGGAGGGAGAACGCAGCAGACGCAGACGCGAACUCAGUGGGCCACAAAUAGACUAUGACUAAGAUAAACUGAGGAACUGGUCGCGCUACUUCAAGAAGAAACAUUCACCUCGUGCAGAAAACGAAGAAAGAAACUGCUGAUAAGUGAGAAACAGAACAACAUUGUUUGUACACAAUGUAUUCAGCAGUAAAUGUUUUCUUUUUUAGUGUUGGCAAAUGAUUUCUCAGGAUUAUACCUUGACUUGUUCAGAUACAUAAACAUGAAAUCCCCUUUUUUGAACCAGUUUGCUGAUG